GUACUUGUUUUGGCAGCACAUAUACUAAAACUGGAAUGGUAAAGAGAAGACUAAUGUGGACCCUCCCCAAGGAAGACACCCAAUUCAUGAAGCAGUCCGUAUUUUU
ensembl:snRNA U6 U6 spliceosomal RNA